ensembl:lncRNA
GUUCCGGUCCCGUCCCACCGGGAGGAGACCCCGGGGAAGACCUAGGACACGCUGGAGGGACUAUGUCUCCCGGCUGGCCUGGGAACGCCUCGGUGUCCCCCCGGAAGAGCUAGAGGAAGUGUCUGGGGAGAGGGAAGUCUGGGCAUCCCUGCUUAGACUGCCGCCCCCGCGACCCGGCCCCGGAUAAGCGGAAGAAGAUGGUAUGGUAUGGUAAUUUCAAUUUAUUUUUAAGGGCAAGAAGGCAGAGGUAGGGGGAAGUUUUAGCUCUGCACAUGAAGGUAAGAAUGUAAAUUUUGGUGGACACUGUGAUUUGAGUUCUGAUUGUAAAAUAACCAGAUAUUUAGGACUGAAUAAUUAACUGUCUGUUUUUACUUUCAGAACAUUUGGAGAAGAUCAAGUGGCUGACUGAAGAGAAGGUCGAGCUGAGGGCACAGCUGGCUCUACAAUCAGCUUCUGAUAAACGUCUGACUGAAAAGUAUGUCAAGCCGAGGGUAAAGCUUCUACAAUCAGAUUCUACAGGAGCCAUAAGAAAGAAUCUUUCCAGCCGGGAUGCCACUGAUGAGGCUGUCCAGAACCAGGUCCCCAGGUACCAGAAAGGGGCAGCUGACCGUGCAGGUGGGAGAUGACGUGGCAGUACAAUGGACCUGCCGUGAAUAUGAAUGACAUCUCCAACACAACCAAUAUUGCUGCUAAGCUGCAUUACUGUAUUAUUUUUUUUUAACUGCUGCUAUGUACAGUGUUAUAUAUAUGAUUGCAUUAUCCUCUUAAUAUAUUUAUAGCUCUGUGUGACUGUUCUUAAUUCUGACUGUAGUUGUAGUGUUAUGCCACCAUUCAUAAGCUUAUUGCACUGAUGUAUCUGUGAUAUUCAAUAACUAUCGAUUGCUGCUAGGUCAUACUUAUGUAUAUUACUG